rnacentral:tRNA from 1 species
UCCCUGGUGGCUCAGUGGGUAAAGCAUCUGCCUACAAUGCCGGAGACCUGGGUUCGAUCCCUGGGUCGGGAA